rnacentral:rRNA from 1 species
GUAGGUGGCAAGCGUUGUCCGGAAUUAUUGGGCGUAAAGCGGGCGCAGGGCGGUCCUUUAAGUCUGAUGUGAAAGCCCACGGCUCAACCGUGGAGGGUCAUUGGAAACUGGGGGACUUGAGUACAGAAGAGGAAAGCGGAAUUCCAAGUGUAGCGGUGAAAUGCGUAGAGAUUUGGGGGAACACCAGUGGCGAAGGCGGCUUUCUGGUCUGUAACUGACGCUGAGGCGCGAAAGCGUGGGGAGCAAACAGGAUUAGAUACCCUGGUAGUCCACGCCGUAAACGAUGAGUGCUAAGUGUUAGGGGGUUUCCGCCCCUUAGUGCUGCAGCUAACGCAUUAAGCACUCCGCCUGGGGAGUACGGCCGCAAAGGCUG